rnacentral:lncRNA from 1 species
CUACUCGCCUGAGCAGAAAGUGUAAUGCCCUUGGGAGAGCAGACUGGCUUAAUGUACUGUAUCUCUUUUUCCAGUACCUUCUUCUAAAUCAGACUCCUUAAAAAAGAAGACCUUAUUGAAGCUGGAAAAACAGAACAUGUUGGGAGCUUUGGUUUUUAUCAAAGAGACAGCGGAUGCUUCCAUCAGGAUCACUGAGAUCUAAAUCAUUUCUGAGGGAUUGAUACGCGUUUGUCCUUGCUGAUCAUAUUAAAGUAUCUGUGCAGAAAAUAGAAUUUUGAUUUUUCUUG